rnacentral:rRNA from 1 species
CUCAGGGAUUGCCUCAGUAGCGGCGAGUGAAGCGGCAAGAGCUCAGAUUUGAAAUCGUGCUUUGCGGCACGAGUUGUAGAUUGCAGGUUGGAGUCUGUGUGGAAGGCGGUGUCCAAGUCCCUUGGAACAGGGCGCCCAGGAGGGUGAGAGCCCCGUGGGAUGCCGGCGGAAGCAGUGAGGCCCUUCUGACGAGUCGAGUUGUUUGGGAAUA